rnacentral:lncRNA from 1 species
CCUCGGCAAGCUAAUGGAAGAGGAUCUGAAUCUAGAUUAUCUGUUCCCAGUGCAGUGAGAAGAUGAUCUCAGAAUGAGUUCCCUGGGGGAACAUUUUUUAAUCGGAAUUUUCAUUGACAUAAUUAAAGACUAGUACACAGUUGUCUUUAAUAACGAGCGUUUACACACGGUGCCUAGUUUCUCCCGAGGGCAACAUUUGCAAAAUUAGUACUAUAUCAAAACCAAGAUUGGACAUCAAUACAAUCAAUCUAUGAUCUUAUUCAGAUUUGCCCACAAUUGCACCAUGUGUAUGUGAAACUCUAAACAACUUUAACCUGUGGAGGUUCACGUAUCCAUCACCACAGUCUACAUACUGAAAAGAUCCCAAACCACAAGGAUCCCCGCUGUGUGCUUUGAUUUAUUUAUUUAGAGACAAGUUCUCACUCAUUUGUCCAGGCCAGUCUCUUGGGGUGCCCAAAGACCUUUUGUCCAGGUCUCACUUUUGUCCAGCACACAUGGAAUGGGUGUGGUGGCUCACGCCUGUAAUCUCAGCACUUCGAGAGGCUGAGGCAGGAGGAUCCCUUGAGCCUGGGAGUUCGAAACAGCCUGGGCAAUGUGGCAAAAUCCCAGCUUUACUAAAAAUACAAAAAUUAGUCGGGCAUGGUGGUGCACAACUAUAGUCCCAGCAACUCAGGAGGCUGAGGUGGGAGAAUCGCUUGAGCCCAGAAGGUUGAGGCUGCAGUGAGGCUUUGUGCAGUGAAGAUUUGUACAGUGCUGAACAGAUCCUGUGGAGUGGGGGUGGGCAGAGUGGAUGGAAAGGUUGAGAAACUGCAGACAUUGUCUUGAGUGUCACAAAUGGAAAUGCAGCAUCCCAGGCAGUAUUGCCUGUUCAGGGGCAAGGAACGAAGUGGACAUCAGCAGGUGGCCUUGCUGCCAUGUGGGUGUCACUAUCUCCCCCAGCAGGGGAGAAAACAGGCUUUUUGUUGCAGGUCACACAGCUCAUGAGGGGUGGAACUAGAUUCACCCUAGGCCUCGCUGAUCUCUGUACAACGGGGGCCAGAGCUCUUCUGAGGAAGGCAGGCUUCCCUUUGUACCUGCACUGACUUUUUUCUCCUUUUGGAGGGAGAGCAGAGACCAUGUCUGACAUAGAAGAGGUGGUGGAAGAGUACGAGGAGGAGUGAGUAUCUGGAGCAUCUUGCCUGAGUGGGGUCCUCUCCCGCCGCUGCCCUGACACCUGGUCCAGGAGCCUCCCAGCUGUCCCUCGGAUUCUGGGGAGCAGGAAGAAGCAGCUGUUGAAGGGGCCUCUGUCUUAGUAAGAAGGAGGCCAAGGCUCUGUCGUCUAGAGGCAUUGCAGUUACCACAGAUCGCAUGCUCCUCUUGUGCCAGGCACCUGCUGGGCGCUCUAUGCACGCUAGGUCAUUCAGUCCUCACCACGGCUGAGAAAGCAGGAGGAGGCAGCGGAAGAGGAUGCUGAAGCAGAGGCUGAGACCGAGGAGACCAGGGCAGAAGAAGAUGAAGAAGAAGAGGAAGCAAAGGAGGCUGAAGAUGGCCCAAUGGAGGAGUCCAAACCAAAGCCCAGGUCGUUCAUGCCCAACUUGGUGCCUCCCAAGAUCCCCGAUGGAGAGAGAGUGGACUUUGAUGACAUCCACCGGAAGCGCAUGGAGAAGGACCUGAAUGAGUUGCAGGCGCUGAUCGAGGCUCACUUUGAG